rnacentral:rRNA from 1 species
AGUGAACGCUGGCGGUAGGCCUAACACAUGCAAGUCGAACGGCAGCACAGUAAGAGCUUGCUCUUACGGGUGGCGAGUGGCGGACGGGUGAGGAAUACAUCGGAAUCUACUUUUUCGUGGGGGAUAACGUAGGGAAACUUACGCUAAUACAGCAUACGACCUACGGGUGAAAGCAGGGGAUCUUCGGACCUUGCGCGAUUGAAUGAGCCGAUGUCGGAUUAGCUAGUUGGCGGGGUAAAGGCCCACCAAGGCGACGAUCCGUAGCUGGUCUGAGAGGAUGAUCAGCCACACUGGAACUGGAACACGGUCCAGACUCCUACGGGAGGCAGCAGUGGGGAAUAUUGGACAAUGGGCGCAAGCCUGAUCCAGCCAUACCGCGUGGGUGAAGAAGGCCUUCGGGUUGUAAAGCCCUUUUGUUGGGAAAGAAAAGCAGCAGGUUAAUACCCCGCUGUUCUGACGGUACCCAAAGAAUAAGCACCGGCUAACUUCGUG